rnacentral:rRNA from 1 species
GACGAACGCUGGCGGCGUGCCUAAUACAUGCAAGUCGAGCGAAGCGGCGGAUGGGUGAGUAACGCGUGGGUAACCUGCACCUAAGUCUGGCAUAACAUUUGGAAACGGCUGCUAAUACCGGAUAUUAAAGGAUGGACCUGGGAGGCAUUAGCUAGUGGGUAAGGGACCGGCUUACCAAGGCGAUGAUGCAUAGCCGGGUUGAGAGACUGAUCGGCCACAUUGUGACUGAGACACGGCCCAAACUCCUACGGGAGGCAGCAGUAGGGAAUCUUCCACAAUGGACGAAAGUCUGAUGGAGCAACGCCGCGUGAGUGAAGAAGGUUUUCGGAUCGUAAAGCUCUGUUGUUUGUGAAGCGGUACUCAACCAGGAAGUCACGGCUAACUACGUGCCAGCAGCCGCGGUAAUAC